UACGUAGGGUGCAAGCGUUAAUCGGAAUUACUGGGCGUAAAGCGUGCGCAGGCGGUUUUGUAAGUCUGUCGUGAAAUCCCCCGGGCUCAACCUGGGAAUUGCGAUGGAGACUGCAAGGCUAGAAUCUGGCAGAGGGGGGUAGAAUUCCACGUGUGAGCAGUGAAAUGCGUAGAGAUGUGGAGGAACACCGAUGGCGAAGGCAGCCCCCUGGGUCAAGAUUGACGCUCAUGCACGA
rnacentral:rRNA from 1 species